UAAAUAAAAAGAGGGUGCUCAUAGUAAUGGGCUGAGAUUAAGCGUAAGCUUUGACCUAUAACCUGAUUUGGGUAAUGCCAACGUAGGGAAAUAUGAUUUUUUAAAA
rfam:Lachnobacterium bovis DSM 14045 genome assembly, contig: IE72DRAFT_scaffold00010.10